GGGAACCAGGACUUUUACUGUGAAAAAAUUAGAGUGCUCCAGGCAGGCCUAUGCUCGAAUACAUUAGCAUGGAAUAAUAGAAUAGGACGUGUGGUUCUAUUUUGUUGGUUUCUAGGACCGCCGUAAUGAUUAAUAGGGACAGUCGGGGGCAUCAGUAUUCAAUUGUCAGAGGUGAAAUUCUUGGAUUUAUUGAAGACUAACUACUGCGAAAGCAUUUGCCAAGGAUGUUUUCAUUAAUCAGGAACGAAAGUUAGGGGAUCGAAGACGAUCAGAUACCGUCGUAGUCUUAACCAUAAACUAUGCCGACUAGGGAUCGGACGGUGUUAUUUUUUGACCCGUUCGGCACCUUACGAGAAAUCAAAGUGCUUGGGCUCCAGGGGGAGUAUGGUCGCAAGGCUGAAACUUAAAGAAAUUGACGGAAGGGCACCACCAGGGGUGGAGCCUGCGGCUUAAUUUGACUCAACACGGGGAAACUCACCAGGUCCAGACACAAUGAGGAUUGACAGAUUGAGAGCUCUUUCUUGAUUUUGUGGGUGGUGGUGCAUGGCCGUUCUUAGUUGGUGGAGUGAUUUGUCUGCUUAAUUGCGAUAACGAACGAGACCU
rnacentral:rRNA from 1 species